GCCAAGGAGUAAGAGUUUAUGUAGAGUUAAUACUGGCAGUUAUUGGGCCUCAGAGCUGCCGGCGGAUGGUACCUGACGCAUAAUCACACCCAGGAAAGACAAUAAAAUUUACGACAUUGUCUCUCUUUUUACGUUCCUGUGGCUCGCUGUGAUUGUCAGUGCUGUUUUCAAAUAUUGCACUUGACAAGUAUACUCUGCACUCAGAGUUUACAUCUGAGUCUCUUUAUAACCUGAAAAGCGCAUAUAGAUUGAUCACUUAACUUCUGACGUCACUGAAGGCUGUGGCCUAAGCAGAAGCUGAGAAAGUUUGAUAAUGAGGGGCUACACAAUCAACAAGACCACCGGUGUGAUCUAGAAGGACAUGCGGUCUUGACCCAGUGUAAGCAGUGCGAGAACCGACGAUGCCGGAGUACAGAUGCACAUAGGCUACAACAAUCAAAUUGACCCCAAGACACAUGCGAGGUGAAGGAAUAGCCAUUUCUUUUCUCUCCGUGUUUGUGAUUGCUCGUAUAGAAGCACGGACGAAAUCUUUGAUGAGACAGCUCACGCUGACUUAAGCAGCUACCAGCAACUCUUAGUCGCUUGAGACCUGUUUGAUUUCUCUUUGCGUCUUCGGUGUUUGUCUUUUAUUACUGUCUUCACGGUUGUUUCUACUUCCGUCCUUCAUCUGCUGUUCAUGGCCUGUUCUUGUCUCAAGCGCUGAGAACAUUCUCUUUAUCUUGCUUUUUAAUAACUUUAGCGUUUGUCGUGGGUAAAGAAAAGAAUCAUAAAUUCAGUUGGCUUUGUAUCACAUAUUUUUUCAUUGUUUGACUGCCAAAAUGGCAUCUGAUGACAAUGACCUUUCACCGUCAUGGUGAAGCCUCUUUCAUUAACACUUCGAAGUCAGGCAAUCACACGGCAGCGGAAGCAGUAGACUGCAUAGUGGUCUGAAAUUGUAAAUAGCAAACUUUCCUCAGUUUGUGUGUGUGUGU